UUCGCUCUUAUUUUUCUAUCUAUCGGUCAUUUUAAUGGGGAUGUGGAAGGAGAGGAAUUAGACACUUGUGCUGACAUCACAUUCUUACCCAGAGAUCCUGGGUUGCUUUUCUAAAACAAAAGGAAAAAAAAAAAAAGUAAAAGGAGGCAAAAAGAGACACAGAGAGAGAGCUGAAGGAAAGAAGGAAAGACACCACAGUACUCAAAGCUUCCUCCUGUGCUGCGAGAAGGCAUGAAACCCGGGUGCUUGUGCAAAGAAAAGCAGGUUCCAGAUGCCAUCAGGAUGCUGACCAGACUUCCCUGGACUGACGACCCCACCAGUGUGUCCUGGAGCUCCGCUUCCCCAGAGACCCACCCUUCUAGCGAAAGAGAGAGUCAGACUGGGAGUAUGGACCGACCAGUAAACGCCCAUGUUCAGCGGGGAAGCAAUUCCAGAAGCCAGACCUUCCACCUUCUGCAUCCCACAAUGACCUUGGGUCCAUGCUCCCAGAGGGAUAGAGAAUGGGAAAGCUAUUGGGGUUGGGGAUGGGAUAUGGAGACUGGGUGGCAGGAAUUGUGUGGA